rnacentral:lncRNA from 1 species
AUUAUUGUGAGUUUUUGUUUAGCCAGAUUAGUUGCUAUAUGAUAUUUUAUUUGAUUAUUAUAUUAUAAAAAUAAUUUUAAUCAUCUAUUUAUAUAAGGGUAAACUUCAAAUACCCCUUUGUGGUUUCACACUUUCUCAUUUUAAUACCAUGUGGUUUAAAGUGUAUCAAGUUAGCCUUGUGGUUUCGCACUUUCUCACUUUAGUACCCUGCGGUUUAAAGUGUAUCAAGUUAAUACCCUGUGGUUUUAUUUUUCUCUUUGUAUUAUCCAUUUCACUAAUUUUUUUCAUUAAAUCAAUAAUAAAGUUAAAAUUAAAGGGUACUAAAGUGAAUAUUCGAUAAACCUUAUGUAUUUGAAGUUUUUUUGCAUAUAAUUUAACAAAAUAUUAACUGAGGAAAAAAAAUUAGCGACAAAGUUAAAACUAAAGGGUACUAAAGUAAAUAUUCGAUAAAACUAUGUAGGGUAUCUAAAGUUUUUUGCAUAUAAUUUAACGAAAUAUUAACAGAGGAGCCAACGAAAAGAGAAAAAUAAAAUCACAUGAUACUAAAUUGAUGCACUUUAAACCAAGGGUACUAAAGUGAGAAAGUGUGAAACAACAGGGUACUAAAUUGAUACACUUUAAACUACAUGGUAUUAAAGUGAAAAAGUACGAAACCACUGGGUAGUAUUUGAAGCUUUCCCUUUAUAUAAUAUAUGUGACUUCUCUUGAAUAAGUUUGAAUAGUUUUGCUGGAACAAUUGAUUCUUUUUUAUUAUAGUUUUAUUUUUUUAAAAGUAUUUAUCUAUAAUAUAGCCUAUAUUUGUUAUUUUGUCCUGCACUGAUACUUUAUUCUCCACAAAUUUUUACUUUAAUAGUAUCUACCUGCCGCAAUGCGCGUGUCACCAUACUAGUUUAGAUGAUUGAAGUAUUCACUUCUAGCUAGCUCAAAAAGU